UUAGCCUUGAAGCCACAGACUGACCAGGCAGAGAAUCACAAGGCUCUCAAGGUCUAGAAGUGGCUCCAUGGACUGACUUGCUACUCUUUUGCCAAAAUGACUGACCACAGCUGACCAAACGCAAGCUCUCUUCUAUGCAAGCUGGUUUUCAGAUCUCAGAGAAAUGCCAAAAAUCCCUUUGUGAUCUGGAAGCAAAUGGCAGGGCAGUCCUAGGAGUUUAAUGAUAACCCCACACCCAGGGCAAAUCAGUUUCUAAGGAAGCAUCCAUGAUCAAGUGAGAGAGACAUCCCUGUGAAGAUGGACACUCUUCGAGCUCACUCUGGCAUGGAAGAAAAAUAGUUAAGACAGGAAGACAGGAGGUGUCUGCAGGCAGCAGUGAAAACCUCAGCUAUCAGAGAUGUCAAGGAUGUGGGCAACCUGUGGUGACCAGAAGUUAGCACAGAAAUCAGGAGGGCGGGGGCGACAGCACCAGGAGAUAAAGUACAAUGCUGGGCACCCCAGAGGUACAAGCUUGGAGCUUGGGGAAGUAGGCUGGCUUGGGAUUCAGUGGACCCCCCAAUGUUAUCCGGAGUCCAGAGUGGUGGGGAGGGUGAUGGAACCUCAAGGUUAAUCCACAAAUCCGUAGGGAAGUCUGCCGUUUGUGAGCUUAUAGGAAAAGAGGGUUAUCGUGGAACAUGUCCUCUGUACAUGAUAUGACCAGCACUUCAUAUGUAGACCAGACUGGCCUUGCAUACACUGAGAUCCACCUGCCUCUGCCUCUAAGUGCUGGGAUUAAAGGUUUAU